ACAAACUCACUCCAUUUCUAUUUUCCCUUUCUCUUCUCAUCGCCUCCCCUGAAGAGAUUAGGGUUUCACCUGUUUCGAUUCAGUUUCAAUUUCACAGAUCAGUUAUUGAUUUACACUCGUUUUCAUUUUCAUUCUCUAAAUUUAUCCUCUGUUUUUUUCUCAACUGAAAAGCCUAGAUGUUAUUUCAUUAUGUUUCUCUAAAUCAAUUCAGAAAACCUUAUCAAUAUCACUCAAUUCAGAAAACCCUUGCUUCGUUUUUUCAUUUAUUCUCUAAAUCAAUUCAGAAAACCCUAUAAAUAUCACUCAAUUUAGAAAACCCUAGCUUCGUUUUUCAUAUGUUUCUCUAAAUCAAUUAACAAAACCCUAUGAAUAUCACUAGAUUGAGAAGAACACUCAUCGACAAAGCUGUAAUCAAAGCGAUCCUUGCUAUUCAUAAGGGUAUGCCUCGUAAGUUCUACCAUGGACAUACUGGUAUUGUUUGGAAUGUUACAUACGUGCUAUUGCUGUUGAAAUCAACAAACAGAAGGAGGUGUAAUCAUCAUGUUUUCGAGUAUGUUUGGUAAACCUAAAGAAGAAACUAAUGCCUUAAAAAUGUUAGAUAAAUUGGAUGAGUGCCGUUUGUUUGAUGAGGAAAUGGAAUGGUGAAAAGUGGAGUUGAAGCUAUAGUUGGAAGUGGAACCACAGGAGGAGCUGGUGUCGUCAAGAAUGGGAUUGGAGAUGGAGCUGGAGCAGUUGGAAGCGGGAUUGGAGAUGGAGCUGGAUAUGUUGCAAGAAGAAUUGGAUUUAAAGAUUAGUCACCUUUAAAUGAAUUGAAAGAAUUACGGGGCUUCCCUUUUAACGCUUACAAUUUGCUCUCCGGGUGUAGCACCAAGAGGCAGUUAGAACUGCCAAGAAAAAGAUGGGUUGUUGGGUUAAAGUGACUUGUUGUCAUUAUCUCACAGACACUUCAGAUGUAUGAGAAAAAAAGAUAAUGUCCUUUUAAGAAAGCAUGGACAAGAGGUCGAGAAGGCCUAGGAGUACAUGAGAGCUAUGAACAAAAGAGGUGCAAUGGAGUCCUUUGGAGCAAAAGAAGGAAGAAAGCACUCUUUUAGAGCAUAAAGGGCAGAAUCGUCAAUUCACAGGCAAGUGGUAGCCGGAGCUAGCUAAGGUUAUGCGGCGAAGAAUGAACUGUCAGUUCCGCGCAACUGACAGUUGAGCAGGAAAGUAAAUAGGCUGUCGGAAGUCUGAAACUGACAGGCCAAAUAAGUUGGGUUACCCCUUAUCUGGCUCACCUGGGUGGCUAUAUCCAGUCUCAUUUCCUACACAAUACCUAAAAAUCAGAGAAGCAAGUUGGAAGUUUUUAUUUUCUUUCUUCACUUUGCCUGAAAUCGAGAAAAGCCAUGAUGGCGGCUGCUGUAAGAGAGGACGGGGGAGAUCGAGAAGAAGCUGAGAGUUGGAGAUACAGAAAUCCACGGUUGUUGGUCGAUGUUUGUUGGAAUGAAUCAGGUGGAAGACACCGAUGAGUUUCAUGCCUGAAUUGGUGAGAGAUGAAUUUGGCAGUAAGGGUUUGGUUGUGAAUCAAGGAAGAGAUGAUGAUUUGGGGUUUGUAAUGAAGAAGUCGAAGAAGGGUUUUGAAUCUGAUGCUGUAUUCUCAAAGAAUUUGUGGUGAUUGUUCGAAUUGAGGAGAAGACGAAUUUUCUGCCAUGGGUUUGCUUGAGAGCCAGAUCGAGAAAAACUCAGUGUGAAUCGAGAGAAUGAAAGAAUGGAGAAGCUACAACACUGGAGAAAUUAGGGAUACAUAGAGAUGAAUUUGCUGUGUAACAAUGAAAUUGAGGGUUGUUCAUGAGCAGAAGUAAUGGGUUUCUGGUGGAAGAUGUAGCACGCAAUUUUGGCUGAGAUAAAGAUGAGUUAGAGCUGUAAGAAGGGUUGGAGUCAGUGGCAAGUGAUAGAGCUUACUGGAGUUGAAACUGAGGGUUCGAUUGGUGAAGGGUUGAACUUGUUUAACUACUGCUAUCGACUUGAAA